UUUACAUGUAUUAAUUUACAACAACUCUGAGGCAGGAGCUGUGAUUACGCCCAUUUAACAGAUGACAAAACUGAGGCACAAAGCAGUGCUGGAACUUCUCAAAGUCACACAGGUAGCAGGAGGCAGAGCUCGGAUUUGAACUCACUUUGGGUUCAGCAACUCACAGCUCUCACCUAUGACAUAAUAUUACUUCUGUUGUCAAAACACUUAGACCUGGAUUUCACAGGAAUCUUGUGCUUGCCUGGCUGCUAGGGAGGUUUUCAUCAUCUUCCUUAUCUCACAGUUCAAAACCCAGGGCCUCCAUGCUCUUGCUCUGGUGACCGUUCACUGGCAGGAGGCUUCUGGGAAGGUUCUCCUUUUCUGUCAUUUUUCUUAUUCGUGGUUUUUUGUUUCAUUGGUGUUUAUCUGCAGAACUUUGUUUCCUUCUGCUCAAUUCAUAAUCAGAGUGCUUUUCCUCCUGGCUCAAUUCAUAAGUGUUUAUGUAAAAAGAGGUUGGGCACAGAGCCAGGCGACUGAGGACACCCGGCUCAUCUGGCAAGUGGAUAUCAAAUUGUUGUAUCUCGUUCUGCCAUUCCCGGCUCCUGCUGUGGGGCUGGGUCAUCUGCCAGCUCUCCAAGGAGCUGGUGGGAAACCACUGCAAUCAGAGCGAACCGCUGCCCGGGUGAGCCCGCCUAGGCACAGCACUCCAGCUGCCCCCAGUGCCUUUUGGGGACACAUCUGCAUUGCCAGUAAUGCUGCCAGAACCCAUCAAGACACCCAGGAACUGAUGUGCCUUGGCAGAUGAUGCUGGAAAGAUGGGAUUCCCGGCAGCCCUUGCAUCUGUUGCUCACAGCCCACAAGCAUCUCCACUGUCCAGCAGGCAGAGAGCUGAUCAAAACAGCAAAAGCAAAGCAGUGCCCCUGGCCCAGUUCUGAAGCCAACCUUCCUUAAUCACCCAGACCCAUCCCUGGUUAGGACUUGCUGUGGAUUCUCACGUGACUCCAUCUCAGGCUACAGGGACUGAGAGGGUGUAUGCAACAUCUCAGACCCAGAAACCGUUGAUUCUGCCUAAAAACACAGCAAUAACCACAUCUCAUCCUCUUGAUUUAAAUGAAAGGGUAUGGGGGAAUAAAAGAUGAACCUUUUUUUUUCUUUGUCAGAUCUUGCGCUCAUUUGGUUCUGGUGGGGAACAACAGCUAUAAGAGAACAAGUGUAUUCAAUUAGAA
rnacentral:lncRNA from 1 species